rnacentral:rRNA from 1 species
UACGUAGGUGGCAAGCGUUGUCCGGAUUUACUGGGCGUAAAGGGCUCGUAGGCGGCCAACUAAGUCACACGUGAAAUCCCCAGGCUUAACCUGGGAACUGCGUGUGAUACUGGAUGGCUUGAAUUCGGGAGAGGGAUGCAGAAUUCCAGGUGUAGCGGUGAAAUGCGUAGAUAUCUGGAGGAAUACCGGUGGCGAAGGCGGCAUCCUGGACCGACAUUGACGCUGAGGAGCGAAAGCUAGGGGAGCAAACGGG